rnacentral:rRNA from 1 species
AGUGAACGCUGGCGGUAAGCCUAACACAUGCAAGUCGAACGGCAGCACAGGAGAGCUUGCUCUCUGGGUGGCGAGUGGCGGACGGGUGAGGAAUACAUCGGAAUCUACUUUUUCGUGGGGGAUAACGUAGGGAAACUUACGCUAAUACCGCAUACGACCUACGGGUGAAAGCAGGGGAUCUUCGGACCUUGCGCGAUUGAAUGAGCCGAUGUCGGAUUAGCUAGUUGGCGGGGUAAAGGCCCACCAAGGCGACGAUCCGUAGCUGGUCUGAGAGGAUGAGCAGCCACACUGGAACUGAGGCACGGGCCAGACUCCUACGGGAGGCAGCAGUGGGGAAUAUUGGACAAUGGGCGCAAGCCUGAUCCAGCCAUACCGCGUGGGUGAAGAAGGCCUUCGGGUUGUAAAGCCCUUUUGUUGGGAAAGAAAUCCAGCUGGUUAAUACCCGGUUGGGAUGACGGUACCCAAAGAAUAAGCACCGGCUAACUUCGUGCCAGCCGCCGCCGUAA